AGGCUUAAUACUUAGAAAGUGCUAGAGCAGCCUCUAUUAGGGGAUCUCUUCUCUGAUUGUACUCCACUUGCUGUAACACCAAAGGAUGCAGAACCAGGUUCUGUAGCAGAAAUUGCUGGUGUCUGUGGCAGGGGAGGGCACCUGAGGACAGGGAAGAAGAAACAUAUUUUUAUCUUUAUGGAGCAGCACAUUGUUCCCAAAUACCUUCUGCUUUAAGGGACAGAAAUGGAUGGACUUUUUCUGUCUUUUCUGCCAGUUGAUGUCAUGCUUGCAGGUAAACAUGUGGUACUGACACCCUUAAAGGCAUAUUCUCAAGAGGCAGGUAAAAAACCAAUUCCAAAAAAGUAUUGCAACAAAAGGAAGCACCAAAUAACUAUAAUAUCUUUAUGGCUUGCAAAAAUAUAGGCAGAAAAGGGCUUUCUUUUCUAGGGAAGAGCAAACAAGAUUAGAAAGGAGGUGGGAGAGGAACAGCAAAUGGAGGGUGAAAAAGUCAGAUUUUAGAUCAGAGAAUGGCUUACCCUGAAAUCAGCAUGUUCUUAGGAGGGACAUAAAAUGGGGUUGUAUGUUGACUCAGACUGAGGGUAGCUUGAAUUUCAGGAGCCUGAGAGAAGAUAAACUUAAGUAAAAUUUGAUUAAGAAAUAUUUUAUUUUAGGCUGGGUGUGGUGGCUCAAGUCUGCAAUCCCAGCACUUUGGGAGGCUGAGGCAGGCGGAUCACCAGAGGUCAGGAGUUCAAGACCAGCCUGGCCAACAUGGUGAAACCCUGUCUACUAAAAAUACAAAAAUUAGCUGGGCGUUGUGGCAGGUGCCUGUAAUCCCAGAUACUUGGGAGGCUGAGGUAGGAAAAUUGCUUGAGCCCUGGAGGUGAAAGCUGAAGUGAGCCGAGAUGGCCCCACUACACUCCAGCCUGGGUGACAGAGUGACACUCCAUCUCAAAAAAAAAAAAAAUCAUAAUUGAUUUUGACUGCUGAAGGCAAAUUCAGCUGGUUUUUUGUUUUUUUUUUAAUGAGAAAAAGGAGAAAAUGUGCAGAGUGUAUGUCUGGCUGUGUGAUAGGCAAGAAAAGGGAGCAUCAUCUUAAUCAUAACGGGAAGAGUGUUUCUUUCCAUAAACUGUUCCUGAAGCACACAAAGGAAGGAGAAUUUUAUUAAUCACAAAUAUUUUUCAUAAUUAUCUAUGUGUUUCAUCUUUCCUCAUCUCUUUUCUUUGUUCUAUGCAUUUCUUCCACUUGGCUUUUCCUGGGCUGCAUCUUAUAUAUUAAACCAGUAAGCA
ensembl:lncRNA novel transcript, antisense to ZNF486 and ZNF90